ACUCUGUCAGUGGCGGACGGGUGAGUAACGCGUAGGUAUCUAUCCUCGGGUGGGGGACAACCACGGGAAACUGUGGCUAAUACCGCAUGAUGACUGAGGUCCAAAGGCGCAAGUCGCCUGGGGAGGAGCCUGCGUCCGAUUAGCUUGUUGGUGGGGUAAAGGCCUACCAAGGCUCCGAUCGGUAGCUGGUCUGAGAGGAUGAUCAGCCACACUGGGACUGAGACACGGCCCAGACUCCUACGGGAGGCAGCAGUGGGGAAUAUUGGACAAUGGGCGAAAGCCUGAUCCAGCAAUGCCGCGUGGGUGAAGAAGGUCUUCGGA
rnacentral:rRNA from 1 species